AGUUAAUGUGGAACGCUGAAUACACGUGAUGCUGUGGCAUUUUAAUUAAAGCAGUUGUCCAGGAGUGUGGCAGGGCACUCUGGGUACCUGCAACUUCAAGGGCCAAGCCAAGCAGCCAGCAGGUGCUUAACUGUGGCCGCCAUUUUUAGAUCCAUGGCUGCCUAUAUAAAGAGGGCAUUUUGCUGUUGGCAGCCCAGGUAGUAACAUCACCUGGCUGCAAGGCUGCUUGGAACAUCCUGGAGAGCACAACAUGAAUACUGAAAAAGAAUGCCUGUGAAUAGCAACUCGGAUCCUUAAACACACUUUCCCUGAAUAAAUUCAUAUCCCUCAGGAGUCCCUUCCAAUUACAAGAUGACUCGUUUCUUCAAGCGGUAGGGAAGAAGGUCAAUAAUAAAUCAGCAUGCAGGGGUUCCUUUUAAGGUUACUGAAAGCAAAAUUGGAAGUGCCUAAAGAAAAAGCACAGUGUGUGCAUAUGCAUACAUGUACACAGCCGGACGAACAGAUGUCACAUGAAACUCUUACUUCAGAAGAAUAUUUUCAUGUGAGGUACAAUGGAAGAGUGAGAAGUAUUUUGUCUCGUUUUUGUUCUACAAACUUGUCAUUGUUCUUGUUUAUUGUGGUUCCUAGUAUACACCUGAAUUUUUCCAAACGGUUUGUAAUCAAUGUUCAUUUUGAGAAAUCUUGCCCAUCAGUCUUACUUAGAUCUUUCUAUUGUAUUAAUGACUUCUCUACUAUAGCACAUGCAAAAUCUUUAUCAUUUGAAACAACAUGCCCUUUUCUUUCUACUGCUUGCAUCUCUUUCUAGCCAACAGUCUGCUCAUUGUCCAUCCUUGCUACUGCUCCAGUAAACACAUCGUUACUGAGCUGUGGUUGAGGUUUCUGCAGAAUGAAUGGCUGAUAGGAGUCACAGAAAGCCUUACUACUUACUGGUGUUGGAGCCAUGCUAGCUCAGAGAUGGACAGCUAGUUCAGUAGAAACUUUCUUAUGUAAGGAAGAUCAUGGGAGAAGGCAGAGCAACCUGGGCAACUAUCUUUUUAAUUUAUCAGAUCUGGUUCUAAAGACCAUGCCUUGUAAAACUGCAAAGGUGGGAUCCUGGCAAGAAAAGCAGUUUUCAGCUCUGGAAACAGUAUUGUUGUAUGUGUUUUUCAAAAGCAGUCAUUUUUUGAUUGGGCAGCACCUUUUCACAGAGCUUUGUUUCCAUUUGUUAAGGAGCUGCUGCAUCUGCAUCAGGCAUUUACUAGUCACGUGGCCCAGUGUGGAAGCACUGCUGUUUUCAU